GGUGGUGCAUGUUGUCGUCAGCUCGUGUCGUGAGAUGUUGGGUUAAGUCCGCAACGAGCGCAACCCUCGACCUUAGUUGCCAGCAUUCAGUUGGGCACUCUAAGGUGACUGCCGGCUAAAGUCGGAGGAAGGUGGGGAUGACGUCAAAUCAUCAUGCCCCUUAUGACCUGGGCUACACACGUGCUACAAUGGGCGGUACAAAGGGUCGCGAACCCGCGGGGGGGAGCCAAUCCCAAAAAGCCGCUCUCAGUUCGGAUUGCAGGCUGCAACUCGCCUGCAUGAAGCCGGAAUCGCUAGUAAUCGUGGAUCAGCAUGCCACGGUGAAUACGUUCCCGGGCCUU
rnacentral:rRNA from 1 species